UAGGGAAUAUUGCGCAAUGGGGGAAACCCUGACGCAGCAACGCCGCGUGGAGGAUGACACUUUUCGGAGCGUAAACUCCUUUUCUUAGGGAAGAAUUCUGACGGUACCUAAGGAAUAAGCACCGGCUAACUCCGUGCCAGCAGCCGCGGUAAUACGGAGGGUGCAAGCGUUACUCGGAAUCACUGGGCGUAAAGGGCGCGUAGGCGGAUUAUCAAGUCUCUUGUGAAAUCUAAUGGCUUAACCAUUAAACUGCUUGGGAAACUGAUAGUCUAGAGUGAGGGAGAGGCAGAUGGAAUUGGUGGUGUAGGGGUAAAAUCCGUAGAUAUCACCAAGAAUACCCAUUGCGAAGGCGAUCUGCUGGAACUCAACUGACGCUAAGGCGCGAAAGCGUGGGGAGCAAACAGG
rnacentral:rRNA from 2 species